rnacentral:piRNA from 1 species
UCCAAUGUCUUGCCAAGAGGUGGCACUUUUG